GCACAAGCGGUGGAGUAUGUGGUUUAAUUCGAUGCAACGCGAAGAACCUUACCUGGUCUUGACAUCCCGGAGACCCUUAGGAAACUAGGGGUGCUUCCAUCUGGAGAAUCUGGAGACAGGUGCUGCAUGGCUGUCGUCAGCUCGUGUCGUGAGAUGUUGGGUUAAGUCCCGCAACGAGCGCAACCCUUGCCUUUAGUUGCCAGCAGUUCGGCUGGGCACUCUAAAGGGACUGCCGGUGUUAAACCGGAGGAAGGUGGGGAUGACGUCAAGUCCUCAUGGCCUUUAUGACCAGGGCUACACACGUACUACAAUGGUCGGUACAAAGGGUUGCCAAGCCGCGAGGUGGAGCUAAUCCCAUAAAACCGAUCGUAGUCCGGAUCGCAGUCUGCAACUCGACUGCGUGAAGUCGGAAUCGCUAGUAAUCGUGAAUCAGAAUGUCACGGUGAAUACGUUCCCGGGCCUU
rnacentral:rRNA from 1 species